UGCGCGGGAUAGGGCACCUGAGGAAGCGGGCUGCGCCUGUGGCACAGUGGUACGGGGCCGGAAGAUAACUUACCUGAAGAGGCGAUCAAUCCCUGAGAAUCGCGGGCGACCCGUUUUUUGUGUGCCCGGGUGCGGGGUGCCGGGACACGGCGUUGAAGGCGCUGAGCGGAGGGAUCUCAGGGCGAGCUCGAGCGGCGACGGCGCGCUCUGUGAUUGCACCGCGAGCGCCUGAGGUGAUCUCGGCCUACAUCGCGUCAGCGGGGCCUUGGGCGUGAGCACCGCCCCCUGUCCGGACGCAGGGUACUGGGGCACCUCGAACUGUGGCACCUCACCCUUCUCCGGGGCCACGUCUUGGGGACUCCGACAGCCCCAAAUAAGCCCUCGGGGACUGGGGUUGUGAAAAGCGAGGUCGUGAAGACGCCGGCCUCAUACCGAAGGGUAGGACGGUGAGGUCAGCCCCGUCCCACUCCAACUAAAAUCAACCUGACAGAGGUGGUUCAGGAAAACGGUCCCAUUUGGCACCUCAAGUCUAGGUCCCUCAAGUCUCUACAACAGUAUGCAAAGAAAAUGUUCAUCUUCAUUCUUCUUAUAGUUUUCUGGUAACUUACUGAACCAAGCGCACACACACUCUCCAAGGACAAACAUUUUUCAGUGCUGGGACAAUGCAAAUUCAGUCUCGGCAGACUACUACACACUGUGCAUGAUAUACCAAGACUAAAAGACUCAUAACCUACCCGCAGAAAGAGUGCAUCUUCCAUAGUAGCUCUGCAAAAAGAUCCAAAAGAAACUGUUAAUGGCCUGGCUUAAGUCAAAUUGUGUCCGGAAU
rnacentral:lncRNA from 10 species